AAGAUAACAAACAGUGAUCAAUCUCAUAACUCCUAUAAGCAAUACAAAAUAGAGAGUUGGGCAAACACAAACCACUGGAUAUACCAGAGGUGGGAUCAGGUGUCUUUUUUAAUUUCUAAAGGUGUAUUUGUUAAGUUACUAUAUUCCUAAACGGGAAUCGUAUGAAAGCCGAUUCUUUUAUCAUACGAACUUGACCUACAACGUGUUGACAUUGACUUUGAUCUCACUGAUAGAAAAUCUAUAUCUUGAAUAAUUCAAAAAUAGAAUUUGACGUUGGACCUUAUCCCCGAAAAUGACCAGAUACGAAAUCUUUAUCUUGUCUACGUGUAGCUUAAAACGUAUAUACAAGCAAAUAAAGAAAUCAGAGAUAAUAAGUUAAGGUCGUCAGUCUGGGGAAGAUGGAUUUGGGAAUACAAAAAGCAUUUGACACACUUUACCGCCAAGCCAAUAAUCACAAGCAAGGGCGCCGUUUUGAGGAACAUUUGGUUCUUCAAUACAUUUCUGAAUAACUGAAGAACGUUUUCAAUUAAUAAUGAAACCAACGACGACUAUUUUGGAUCCAUUGCGCACCGAUCCAAGGUCACAAUCAAACUCACACUGACUUCCAUAUUUUGCUCCCCAAGGACAGGUGACACUCAGAAAAGGCGUAGGGUGAAUAAUUGGACAUGUCAACACUACAAAAUUCCAAUUUUAAAAGUCAUCUAACAAAACAAUAUUUGACGAGAACGUCCUUUGUUGAUAUUGUAAAUAUUGUUAUUCAAUCAUGUAAUUAUGUAAUUUCAGCUAUUGCAAUUUUCCACUACCCUUGAUUUUUUUCAUAGCUUGAUAUGAUAUUUUCAUGUUUCCACACAAAACUGUUUAAUUUUUCUUACGAAAUGUUUGGUAUAUGUACCUUUAAUGAUGACGUUAGUUACACAGCUCUGCGCUUGGUUUCCUGCGGCGUCUGUAGCUUUGUAUAUUAUUUUAUAACUUCCUGCUGGGAGUCUGUCGCCUGGCGAUACACUCCCCACCUUUACAACAUUAACAACACCGUCAUGGUUAUCCAGGGCGGUAGGUUCUGACCAUGUUACCACACCUGUAGUCGAAUUUCUGUCCGCAAAACCGUACACUGUGUGUGAGCAGUUCAUAAGUUUAGGAGGGUCAAUAUCUGAAAUAUUAGAAUUACAUUUCAGUUUAUUGUAUCUAUUCCAAUACUAUGUUUACAAUAAUAAAUGUAUGCUAUAUGUA